rnacentral:piRNA from 1 species
UUCUUGCAUCAUGCCUCCGAA